rnacentral:rRNA from 1 species
UACGUAGGGUGCGAGCGUUAAUCGGAAUUACUGGGCGUAAAGCGUGCGCAGGCGGUUUUGUAAGCCAGAUGUGAAAUCCCCGGGCUUAACCUGGGAAUGGCAUUUGGGACUGCAAGGCUUGAGUGCGGCAGAGGAGACUGGAAUUCCUGGUGAGCAGUGAAAUGCGUAGAUAUCAGGAGGAAUACCGAUGGCGAAGGCAGGUCUCUGGGCUGACACUGACGCUCAUGCACGAAAGCGUGGGGAGCAAACAGGAU